GGAGCUCAAGGGCAGGCAUGCUGGCUUAAUUAUAUCCAUAUUCACAGUACCUGUUGUCUAGCAUGUGCUGUUCAACAGAAAUGAAAUGUGAGCCAUAUGUAAUUCUAAAUUUUCCAGUGGUCACAUUAAAAACAGCAAACAUAAGUAGGUGAAUUCAAGUUUAAAAGUGCAUUUAUAUCCAAGUGGCUCAUAUCUAUAAUGCCAAUGAUUUGGGAGCCUGACACAGGAGGAUCACAAGUUCAAGAUCAACCUCAGUAACUUAGCAAGACCCUGUCUCAAAACAAAAAAGGCUGGGGAUGUGUGUCAGUGGUUAAGCACACCUUGGUUCAAUCCCUGGUACAAAAAAAGACAUUUACAUUACUUUUUCUUUUUGUCAAUACUGAGACUUUGAGUUAUGAUGUAUAUUUUAUGUGUAUCCUAAUUUAUAUUAGCAUUUCAAAUGCUCAGUAGACAUUUUUGGCUACUGGCUACUAUAUUGUAUAACAUAGACUAGGUGUUAUAUGAGGGCUGGGGAUGUGGCUCAAGCGGUAACGCGCUCGCCUGGCAUGCGUGCAGCCCGGGUUCAAUCCUGAGCACCACAUACAAAAAUGUUGUGCCCACCAAUAACUAAAAAAUAAAUAUUAAAAAAAAUUCUCUCUAAAAAAAAAAAAAAAAAAAAGUGUUAUAUGAGACUCCUCUAUCCUUAGGAUAUAAGAAGUGCUUUUGUGUGUGUGUGUGGUAUUAGGGAUUGAACCCAGGGCCUUGUGCAUGGGAGGCAAGCAUUUUACCAACUGAGUUAUAUCCCCAGCCCUUGUUUUGUUUUUUAGUAAAAAGAAAAAUUUAAAGGUUAAAUAACUUGUCCAAUGAGUGUCGGAACAAGGUUCAAACCCAGUGCUCUUUUGAAUUCUCUCAACCUAUGCCCCCUCUGUGAACAGAUGGAGGAAUCGGUAAGUUAAUUAGUAGUAAGCAGCACAUUUAUAAGGAUAUUAAGCCCUACCAUGAAUGCCUUGCUAUGUGAAGCAGAUUUUUUUUUUAAAGAAAGAGUGAGAGAGAGUAAGAGAAGAGAAUUUUUUUUAAUAUUUUAUUUUUUAAUUUUUGGCAGACACAACAUCUUUGUUUGUGGUGCUGAGGAUCGAACCAGGCCGCACGCAUGCCAGGCGAGCGCGCUACCACUUGAGCCACAUCCCCAGCCCCAAUGUGAAGCAGAUUUUUAAUAAGUAAAUACCAGAAAAUAUUUAGAAGUGAUUGAGAAAUAAACAUUAAGAUACACUUGAGAUAUCAUGGUAGAGUGAUUGCCUCACAUGCACAAGGCCCUGGGUUUGAUCCCCAGCACCACAAAACACCGAUUCAGAUUGCAGCCACCUUUAUAUUCUACCACCAGGCACAAAUGAGGAUCAUUCACUUAAAUUGUUUUUUGAGUUACUUAUACUGCAACCCCAUAGUCCUUUUAUGAGCAAAUUUUUGGGUGUGAUUAGAUAUGAAACAGAGACAGAGAGCCUUGUACUGGUCCAUUCAUCUUUUACAACAACUACAAACUGGUAGAGUGGACUGCAGACAGGCAAAAACCAACAGGAAAUGACCUGAGUAGGAAAUGCCCUGUCUUGUUUGACAGGCCUUCAGGAAGCCUGUGUGUUAGCACAGAAAGACCAGGACACCAAAAACUUCACAAAUCAGCUCAGCACUUUAUUCAGGAACGAAAUUUCACACAGGAGCAGGGGACACAGGGACGAAAUGACGCUGUGGUGGGACACACUUUCCAGUGGAAAAUGAGCCCCUGAACAAAGAGGGCCUGGGCUUAUAUAGGUUAUCCUGAGAGGUGGUCUAGUGGGAAUAUCAAUUUUCUUGGGCACCCAGGAAUUUGGGAUUUGUUCUAUCAAUCAGUGAAGGGGUCAGUGCUUACGAAUUUGAACUCUUGGGUCAGAGGUUUGUGUUCCAAAUCUAGAGAGGAUUUACUCUGAGGAAGGUCAAUGCCCCCAGAAGCUAUCACUUGAGGUGUGAUGAAACACCUCCUUGCUGCCUGCAGUUUGCAUCAGGAAAACAUUUGUAUUGGGGGCUGAAAGCUCUCAGUGUGCUUUUUCAUUGUCUUUUCUCAGGCUACAUUAUCUUGGAUUUUUCAUUUUCCCUAUUACUGUCCAUUCACUCUUUUUUCUUCUUUUUUUAAUUUAGUUUUUCAAUUGAAGAUGAACAUAAUACCUUUGUUUCAUUUUAUUAUUUAUGUAGUGCUGAGGAUCCAACCCAGUGCCACACAUGUGCUAAGCAAGCACUCUGCCACUGAGCCACCACCCCAGCCCUGUCCAUUCACUCUUUAAGUGACUAUCACUGGGCUCUGAGAUUGUCUGUAUGUACUAUCUGCUCUGUAGCUGCUAGCACAUAUGAGUUUCAAGGAACUGAAUUUUAGAUUUUUUAAAAAAUUUAAUUAAUAUUAAAUAAUAAGCUUUGUGUGUUUGGCUACAUGAACCUUAUUGGGUAACACAACCUUGUAGGAUGGGUGGAAUGUUUUCACUACUGUGUCUCAGCCUUGGGAUCACCACAGGCCUUGCACCCAGAGAGGAGAGUUAUUCUGUCAUUAGGACCCUGGGAAAGCCUGGCUGAGACCUUAUCUGGAUUCUCUGUGAGCUCACUGCACCUGGCUACCAUCUAACUUCCUAAUCAUAAUUCUUUCAAACUCUAGAGCAUAAACCAACAAUUAGCAUAUCUGGUUGUGGUUACUUUGAGCUCAGACAGCUGCCUUCGAGCUUCCUGUUUUCUGUUAUAAAGUGAAAUUUGGCAAUGCGGUGUCCCAUAGAACAUUGGUCUAUUGCUUUGAUAAUAUUAUGCUAAUUUGACCUAACAAGCAGAAUAGGCAUUACUUGAAACUUAAUAAAACACAUGCAUGCCAGAGGAUGAGAAAAAAUGUUGUAAAAAAUUCAAGGACCAACCACAUCCUUGAGGUUUUUAAGGGUCUGACAGUAGUCUGGUGUGUAUUGCAACAUCCACCACAAAGAAAGAGGCACAAAAAAAAAAAAAAAAGAGGCACAAAAUUUGAUGCUCUCUGAAGAGUUUGGAGGCAACAUAAGCCACAUGUGGAUAUGCUGCCCUAUGCAAUUAAUUUAUCAGGUAACUCAAGGACUCACAUUUUAUAAGGCUGCAAGUUAAGAUAAGGCUACACAACAGGCGUUGGCGGUGGUGCAAGCUGCCCGAGCCCUCCGGAAUCUGGGUUUCAAGAAGCCUCUUGAAAACCUGCUUUGCGGACAAUCCUCACAACCCCUCCCCAACCCUGAUGACAGUAUUCACCAUAUAAAAAGCAGCUUCAUAGCUUUCCACCGGCUUUGUCCUUAGGAAACAAAAUUGUGCAUCCUGAUCUGUCCUUUGUGAAUGGAGUGUCAUUUUCACAAAACUCUACAACUUGGACUGAGAAUGUAGCUCUGUAUAGAGUUUUUGCCUAACAUAGGUGAGGCCCUGGGUUUCCAUUAAGAAGAAAAAAAAAUUAUAAAACUAUUAUUUACAGCAGUAUUUCAUUGUUAAAUAAAAAUAGAAUAUAGGAGAAUUGCCCAAUCGGGUCUUAAAGGCAGAAUUGAAACAGAUAAGCAAGUAGCUAGCUCAGGAAUGACUAGUUAUUGCUUUAUUCCUUCUGCUUUGCUGACUUUCCCUCAGUCCUCACAUAUGCCUUUGUAGGAUCCAGCUUAGUGUGACAACAGCCAUCUUGGUUGUAACCAUAUCUUUGCCAGUAGGUGACCCUGGCACACAUUCCAGACCCUAUAGGAUAAACUGUUAGCCCCAAAGGACCAGGCAGGAUGCAGACUUCACAAAUCAGCAAAGCCUUUAUUCGGGAAUGGAGUGACACUUCUGAUGGACUCACUCUUAUGGUGGAAAUUGAGCCAAAGGGCGAGUUUAUGCUUCUGUGGAUUACACUGAGAGGUGAGUCAAUUAAUGAGCACAUCAGUUUGGGCUAUCUUUACUGGGCCAGGUGGAGGUUUGGGGGUCACUGGUCAGUAUCUGGGAAAGAAUUUGUUUAGGGAGGGAUCAAUGCUUUGGCCUCUUUCUAGAAACUGUCAUUUCAGACUUGAUGGAUAUCUCCUCCCUGGGGCCUGUCUUGUCAUUGGGAAAGAAUGUAUUGGGAAAGGAUCAAUUUGCCUUCUCCCUCAUUCCCUGUCCCUGGACCACAUUAUUUUGGAGCUUGACACUUUCCAUAUCCAACAUGAACGAAAUUGUUAAGACAAUCAGUGAAGCAUUUUGUGUUGCCCACUGACAUCUGGAAUAUUUAACUGAGGUUUGACAUGUUAAUAGUUUUUGAGAUGGGCUUGUGGCUCAAGGGUAGAGCACUCACCUCACAUGUGUGAAGCCCUGGGUUCAAUACUCAGCACCACAUAAAAAUAAAUUAAUUAAAUAAAAGCAUCAUGUCCAUCUACAAUUUAAAAAAUAGUUUUUGAGAAAGCCCAGGUAUAUACUGAUUGGCUGUGAGUCACCACCUUCAGCCUGCCUUGGAGUGUGAGGAUCCUCCCAUUCUGCUGCUGCUGAAGAAAUGCUUCUGUUCUUAAGUCCCUAAUAAAUUGCAUUUUGUGCAAUUUUGAAUAUUUCUACAUCUUUCUUUAGUUGCUCAGUACCUUCUGCCAUCAGCAGCAUGUUCUUUUUUUUUUUGUACCAGGAAUUGAAUCCAGGGAUGCUUAACCACUGAGCCACAACUCAAGCCCUUUUUUAUAUUUUGAGGCAGGGUCUCCUUGAGUUGCUUAGGACCUGGCUAAAUUGCUGAGGCUGGCCUUGAACUCAUGAUCUGCCUACCUUAGCCUCCUGAGCCACUGGGAUUACAGGUGUAUAUCAUUGUGCCUGAUGGCAGCCAUUUCAUACAAACUGGGUUUUAUUGAAAAAUGUAUCAUCAGUAGUUAACAGAAGAAGAGCAAGUGAGGUCCUGGUUUAUGCUGACUGAUGAACCCAGUCUAAUUCCAUUUUAAGAUUGGGAGCCAUCUUGUCAAAAAGUCAUGAAAAGUUAAUUUCUAUUUUACUAUAAAUUACUGAGAUUUCUAAACUUGUUUGGAAUUCCUGCCCGUGCCUUGAACUCACCCAUGCCUGGCUUUCUCUGAUCAGAUAACAACCCUCUCUAAAACCUUAGUGGCGCCUCAUAAAUCCUGGCUCCCCCUGACCAGAUAACAACCCUCUUUAAAUCCUUAGCCGUCCCUCAUAAAUUCUGAUAUUGGGAUCUGAAUUUAUUCCCUACCUUGAAAUGUUCAGCCAUGUAGAACAUUAACCUAUCUGCCUUUUUAUUAUGCUUGUCAAAAUCCUGUUAGCUGUAAGUUCUCAAGACACCCCUUUUGCUACUUUUUGUGCUAUAAAACCUAAUUUCUGAAGAGCUGGGGGCACUGGUCUCCCUAAGCUGCCCAGCUUAGGAAGAGACAGUCCUGGCCAGCUUUCUUUGUGUAAACAAUAUAAGCUUGCUUAAUUUUAUUUAAAAGUGGAGUCAGUGGUCUUUUCUUUGUUGUGGUUCAACACUGACUCCAGCCAGAAGCACUACACAGCCCCACUGAGAGGGGAUCAUAGUCAGUAAUGAGGCCAACUUCAUUAUAUCAUGUUACCAACAGGGGCAGAGCAGAAUAAUUCUUUUAAAUAGCUUUUGAUUUACCUCUACAAUAACAUCCCCAAAUGCCACAACUCUAGCUUUUUGUUUGUUUGGUUGGAUUUGUGGUACUUGGAAUUGAACACAGGGCCUCACUCAUGCUAAGUGUGUACUCUACCACUGAGCUACACCCUCUUCCCCCAACCUGUCCCCUGCCUUUCUUGGGGGUGAGUGUGCAGUGGGGAACUGCACACUCACAGACACUGAACUCACAGAUACUCAACCACUGAGUCACAUCCCCAGCCCUAUUUUUUGUAUUUCAUUUAGAAAAAAUGUCUCACUGAGUUGCUUAGCACCUUGCUUUUGCUGAGGCUGGCUUUGAACUUAGGAUGCUCCUGCCUCAGGAUGCUUUCCUGUGCUGCUGGGAUUAUAGGUGUUAGCUACCAGGCCUGGUUGCCCAUCCCCCUUUUCAUUGUUUUUUUUCCCCCCUAUAUUUCACAGCCUUUAUAACAGUAAUUUCCUGACUAAAUGAGAAGAAAGAUACUAAUUAAUUCAUCUUUACAGCAUCAACACACUGGCAUAAGGCAGAUGGGCAAAUCCAGCAUUAAACAACUUCCAGAACAUAAAUUGAGAUGCCCUAUCUGGCAUCCACUGAAGAUGAGGUUCUCAAUAAUCAGACAGACAAGAUUUCCAGCUCUAUGGAUAGCAGUCUGCCUUUCUCCAAAUAUUCUGGUGCUCAAUUAAAGGGAUAUGGUGUAGAUCAUCUUGGUGCAUACCUGUAAUCCCAGCUACUGAGGCUGAGGCACAAGGAUGACAAGUUUGAGGUCAGUUUGGACAACUUGGUGGGAUACUGCCUUAAAAUAAAAAAAAAAAUAAAAAGGCCUGGGGACGUGGCUUCAUGAGAGUGCCCCUGAGUUCAUUCUCAGUACGACAAUAAAAGGGGAGCUGUGGCUAGAGAUGUAGCUCAGUGGUAAAGCACCUUGGGUUCAACCCUCAAUAACCCUCCAAAAUAAGUUAAUAAAUAAAUGAAAUGGCAUGGCAACAGGGAAGGAGGCUCUGCAAGGACUUUCCCUAUUUACCAAAAGUUGUGUGGGUCCCUGAUAUACUCCACCAUUUUCCAGGGAUCCCGUGAACCAUUUGGUGGUAGACUUGGUAUAUUGGACCUUUUCCAUCAUGGAAGGAACAGUGAUUUGUCCUCUUGGGAUUAGAAACAUUCCAGAUAUGGGUUUGCCUUUCCUGCCUAAAAUUCUCCCAGCACUAAACAGAAGGUAUAUUCCAUAUAAAUCACCUCAGACAAGGAGCUUAUUUACAAUGAAGGACUUGAUGGAAUGGAAUGGGUGCUCACAGAAUUCACUAGCAUUGCCACGAGCCCCAACAACCCCAAAGCAUCUGGUUUGACAAAAUGAUGGAAUCGCCUGCUACAAACUCAGUGACUACUAGUCAAGGGAAAAUUACAGGAUUGGGAAGAUGCCUUAUAGGAUGAAUAUAUAAUUUGGCCCAGUGGCUGAUAUUUGAUGACAUCUCCCUCACAGCCAAAUACAUGAGCCAAAGAACCAAGGGUUGAGCUGGAGGUAAAGUUCAGUGGUAAAGCACAAGUCUUAUGUGUGUGAGAACAUGGAUUCAAUUCUGGGUACAAAAACACGCAUACACACACACACACACACACCCGAGUUAAAAGUUUGGAAUGGCCUCUUUUACUUUUCUUCCCUUUUUUAAAAAAUUGAGAUGUAGUUCAUAUAUACACAUAAAGUAUGAAGUGUGCUCUUCGGUCUCGGGCCUAAGUCGCGGCGACAUGGCUAAACGCACUAAGAAAGUCGGAAUCGUCGGUAAAUAUGGGACCUGCUAAGGUGCCUCCCUCCGGAAAAUGGUGAAGAAAAUCGAAAUCAGCCAGCACGCCAAGUACACAUGUUCCUUCUGUGGCAAAACCAAGAUGAAGAGACGGGCUGUGGGGAUCUGGCACUGUGGUUCCUGCAUGAAAACUGUGGCUGGUGGUGCCUGGACCUACAACACCACUUCUGCUGUCACAGUCAAGUCUGCAAUCAGAAGGCUGAAGGAAUUGAAAGACCAGUAGAAAGUUCUACCAUUUAGCAAAAUUGUGGUUUGUUUGUUAAUUGUAUUAACUGGAUGUUCUGAUGUGAAUUGCAUUAAUAUUGCCCUUUCAAAAGAUUUGUAAAUUGAAGCCCUUCUAAUUUGAAUUGGAAAAUUUUGCUAGAUGGGUUAUUGUAAUUCAGGUCUUUUUUCUUCAGUAAUCAGAUGAUAAUGGCAUGAACUAAGUCUUAUGGCUUAAUAUAUACUCAGCUUUUUUUUUUUUUUUUAAACACUGUUCAACUACUCCGAGAUACAUUGAUAUUGUACAAAAUUUGUUUUAAAGGUAAAAUAUGCUAAAAUACACAAAGGAUAUACAUAAAAAAAAAAGUAUGAAGUGUAUAAUUCAAGGCUGCUUUUGUAGCCCAGUGGUUGAGAACUUGCCUAGCAUUGUAUGGGGCCCUGGGUUCAAUUCGCAGCAUUAGAGGGAAAAAAAUAAAUAAACUACUUAAGUGUACAAUUCCUUGAUUAUUUUCUUAUUGUAAUAUAUUCACAAAGUAUAAGCCUAUCAGCACUAAUUCCAGAACAUUUUCAUGGCUUCCCAAACUCCAUGUCCAUUAUGGAUCUACUCUCCCUUCACCCACAUCUCGCCCAGGCCCUGACAACCACUAAUCUACUUUCUGUCUCUAUGGAUUUACAUACUGAGGACAUUCAAAAUGAAUGAAAUCAUAAUAUGUAUGUGGCCUUUUGCAU
rnacentral:lncRNA from 1 species